rnacentral:rRNA from 1 species
AUUGAACGCUGGCGGCAGGCCUAACACAUGCAAGUCGAACGCGUGGCGGAGGGGUGAGUAAUAUCUGAGAAACUGCCUGAUGGAGGGUGCACACGACUAGAAGAGGUAGCUAAUCCCGCAUACGGUCAGAUGUGCCCCUAUUGGCUUAGCUUGUUGGUGUGGUAACGGCUCACCAAGGCGCCGAUCCCUAUAUGGUCUUAGAGGGUGACCGGCCACACUGGAACUGAGACACGGUCGAGACGCCUACGUGAGGCAGCAGUGGUGAAUAGUGCACAAUGGGCGCAAGCCGGACGCAGCCAUGCCGCGUGUAUGAAGAAGGUCUUCGGGUCGUAAAGCACUUUCAGCAGGGAGGCGUUACUUGCAGAAGAAGCACCGGCUAACUACGUGCCAGCAGCCGCGGUAAGAC